GCCAGACUCCUACGGGAGGCAGCAGUGAGGAAUAUUGGUCAAUGGGCGCGAGCCUGAACCAGCCAAGUCGCGUGAGGGAUGACGGUCCUACGGAUUGUAAACCUCUUUUGCCGGGGAGCAAGCGUGCGUUCGUGAACGCGCGUCGAGAGUACCCGGAGAAAAAGCAUCGGCUAACUCCGUGCCAGCAGCCGCGGUAAUACGGAGGAUGCGAGCGUUAUCCGGAUUUAUUGGGUUUAAAGGGUGCGUAGGCGGACUGUUAAGUCAGGGGUAAAGGCCCGGGGCUCAACCCCGGCGAGCCGUUGAAACUGGCUGUCUUGAGAUGUCGAGAGGUAUGCGGAAUGCGCGGUGUAGCGGUGAAAUGCAUAGAUAUCGCGCAGAACUCCGAUUGCGAAGGCAGCAUGCCGGCUCCACACUGACGCUGAGGCACGAAAGCGUGGGUAUCGAACAGGAUUAGAUACCCGCAUAC
rnacentral:rRNA from 1 species